AUUGAACGCUGGCGGCAGGCUUAACACAUGCAAGUCGAGCAGAGAUGAGGUGCUUGCACCUUAUCUUAGCGGCGGACGGGUGAGUAAUGCUUAGGAAUCUGCCUAUUAGUGGGGGACAACAUUCCGAAAGGAAUGCUAAUACCGCAUACGCCCUACGGGGGAAAGCAGGGGAUCUUCGGACCUUGCGCUAUUAGAUGAGCCUAAGUCGGAUUAGCUAGUUGGUGGGGUAAAGGCCUACCAAGGCGACGAUCUGUAGCGGGUCUGAGAGGAUGAUCCGCCACACUGGAACUGAGACACGGCCCAGACUCCUACGGGAGGCAGCAGUGGGGAAUAUUGGACAAUGGGCGGAAGCCUGAUCCAGCCAUGCCGCGUGUGUGAAGAAGGCCUUUUGGUUGUAAAGCACUUUAAGCGAGGAGGAGGCUACCUGGAUUAAUACUCUAGGAUAGUGGACGUUACUCGCAGAAUAAGCACCGGCUAACUCUGUGCCAGCCGCCGCAGUAACAC
rnacentral:rRNA from 1 species